UCACCACAGAUUUGCAGAAAAAAUUCAAAACCCAUUUAUAGACCAAGGGAUCCGUAUUUCUGGCCUCUUGGAAUGUCUGUUGCAGUAGCUGUGUAAUCUUCAUGAUUUGAGAAUUGCUUUUAGUAAUUUGACCUAAACGUGGUGUAAUUUUCCGUUUUUGAGUAAAGCAAUAGUUUUUGAGCUCUUUUUUCUCAGAAAUCGGGGCUACUACUUCAGUCUUAAUCUUAUGAAUGAUGGACCAAGCCAUAUUUGAGUCCUCUUCAGGAUCGUCUUUAAAUGUUUCCUUCAUUCUCUUUUCCCGAGCUUCUUCUUCUUUCCUUUUAGCGUCAAUUUGCUCCUGCUUUAAUCGCCUUUGUUCAUUCUCCUUGUGUUUUUGCUCUUCUAUCAGCCUGAUUCUUUCUUUUUCUUUUUUUUCCUUUUCCAUCAAUUCUUUUUUUCUUCUCUCCUCUUCAUCUUUCAGUCUUUGGCGUUCUGCUUCGAUACGCUUUUUUUCCAACAAUUCACGAUUAAAUCGUUCCUGUUCUAACCUUUGUUUCUCUGAAAAAAUUCUUUGAGAUUCAGUUAUACUUUGUUCAAUUAAAUUUUGCUCUUCAACAUUCCUCUUCUUUGCCCAAUCUAUCGUUUUAUGCAACGGUGGGAAAAUACGCACAUUUUCAUCGGCAAUUACAGGAAAUGGAGAUUGUUUUUUAGGCUUAUACCUUUGUGAUAUCUAAGAACAUUAUUAAUAAAAAUAAUAUUAAUAGAAAAUCGAAUACUUACUAUGUGAAUCAUUCGCCGUGUUUUUUCAUUAUAUAUAUCCCAUAAAUCAUCAAUGUCAAGACCGUUAGCAUCGUUAUAACUAGAUAUUAUUUUUUCAUCGAGUUUAGCAUGGAUUAAAGGUGUUGUUUUUGUAUCCAUAACUGAAAUUUCCUGAAAUUGAGGAAAUUGGUAAAAGGACGAUUUGGAAUGGACAUUCACUAUGCGAAACUCAAAUUGAUCGAAACUUGAUGCUUGCUUUAAUUAACAUUACAAGUGUCAAAACUAUAAAAGUCUUAGGUUAUUAGAUUGUAU